UAUAUGAAGCGGCGUUUCGUUCGGGCAUUUCGUCGAACAUAUUCCGUGCUUUGACGGUUUUGCCAUUUUCUGCAUAUGCUGUGAGUAUGGCAGUCCAAGAGAUGGUAUUCUUGUGGGGCAUGCGAUCGAAUAUGGACUCAGCCUCUUUGAUAUCACGGUUUUUUCCGUGUUUCGUGAUCUGGGUGUUGCAGUAAACGAGAAAUUUGCUGGCUUUGCGGCUUGCAGCGGAGCGGAGAUUGGGGUUUGAUAGAAUCACGGUGGAGACGCAUGAGUAAUGAAACUAAAAAUAUGGAGAGUUUGAGCGGGAAAACUGUAUAUGUACAAUGGUAGUAAACCGUUGUGCUCGCAUAAUUGUUGGUAACAGAUAAAAUCGCCUAAUGUUGGUAACCUGAAUCACUCAAAGGAGACUUCUGGAAGCAUGACGUUCUCGCCGCGAGCAUUGUAGCGGUCGAAGUAGGGGAAGUUUUUCGAUGAAGCUUUGAUACUUUGGGAAAGGCGAUGACUGGAUAGGCAGAACGAGAAAUAUGGGUCGGGCCAAUCUUCAAACAGUCGGUGGGAUGAUCAACGUGCUUAUCGAGCAUUAUACAUUCUCUCAACUGGAUUAUUGCUACUUUACUGAGCCACACUAUGCUCACUUAACUUGGAUUUAUGGGCUUGUUCAAACAUUGCUCUAUGCUGAUUUAUUUUAUUAUUAUUUCCAUAGCUAGAGGAAAACAAAAAGCUUCAAUUGCCAGCUUGAAUUCAUCCUACCUCUUUUUUGGGAACUAAAGAUCUCAUGUAAUGCGCUGCUAUGUCAUUUCUUUGGCUGAAACUAGUACUAAUUCUUUUGGGAUAAUGUUAUGCCCAAGAUCACCUACCGACAACAAGCAUUGACAAUCUAGAGGGAUCAAACUUGACACAUUUGGGUUUGAUCCUGCAUCUCAACAAUCACUCACUUGGAAGAAAAUAUGGAUUAUCAAUUGUUCAAAAUCUAUGUUGUAAGCUCUAACAAAUGUAAUAGACCAUACAAGAUUAUCCCAAACAUGUUAUAUGGCUGCUAUAUAUUCAUUGCCAUUCAGGGUUCAAUGAGCCUUAAAUGAUUGUAGAUUUGUGCUUUCUGUCUGAAUUAUAUUUGAUGACGAUGAAAG